rnacentral:rRNA from 1 species
CAGUAGCCGCGGUAAAACGUAGGUGGCAAGCGUUGUCCGGAAUUAUUGGGCGUAAAGGGCUCGCAGGCGGUUUCUUAAGUCUGAUGUGAAAGCCCCCGGCUCAACCGGGGAGGGUCAUUGGAAACUGGGAAACUUGAGUGCAGAAGAGGAGAGUGGAAUUCCACGUGUAGCGGUGAAAUGCGUAGAGAUGUGGAGGAACACCAGUGGCGAAGGCGACUCUCUGGUCUGUAACUGACGCUGAGGAGCGAAAGCGUGGGAGCGAACAGGAUUAGAUACCCCCGUAGUCCCUGUCUCUUAUACA